rnacentral:tRNA from 1 species
GUCAGGUUGGCUGAGUAGACUAAAGUGCUGCGUUCAGGACACAGUCUCUCCUGGAGGCGUGGGUUCAAAUACCACAUCUGACA